rnacentral:lncRNA from 1 species
CUUCUUCUUUGGGGGAGUUCGGUCGGGACUCCAGGCUGUCAAUUUCACCUUGUUCAGGUUCGGCCUCCUCUGGGAUAGUACACUCCACUAUGAAAUCUGCCAAUAUCUGGGCCUUCACUGCUGGCCUGGGUCGAUAGUUGAUGUCGAAUUUUGUGAGCUCGAUCGCCCAUUUUGCCAUCCUCCCGGAGGCAUCUGCCCGGUGUAGAAUCGCCUUGAUCGGUUGGUCGGUGAGCAGCAUUACGGUGUGCCCUUG